CAGCAUUAUGUUAUAAACGUGCAAAGAAAAGAAGAAAAGGUAUAUGUCUAAACUUCUUUGCCAUCUCACCAUCCUUUAUUAUUCUUUCUUUCUCCCUUUCCUGAUCAGGGUAAAGUAACGGCAUAUUUUAAUGCUGAGGAAAAUCAAUGCCUCCAGCCCAUUGCCAAUAUAACAGCAAACAGCGCCAUCUUACAGAUCUGCCCUACAGGACUUGAAUGCCACCUCGUUUGCUUCAGUCUCGGUGUCCAUGAAAAGAAGCCAUGCUUUUGUAAUUCCACUGCAAAAACACACCCUGAAGGGGGUUCUUCUAUCUGGAACACUGGUGUUGUGAUUGGAGCAUGUGUGUGUGGACUGUUGGUGAUUAUCAUGAUCACCAGCGUUGCAUGUUAUAUGAAAAAUCGAGGUCCUGGAUAUACUACUUGUGAUGCUGAAGUUUGAUUCUGGAAAUCCUUGCACCUCUCCUGGACGUCUCAUCUUUAUCAUGCCAUUAUUAUGUCAUGGUUAUACCUACAUUUAUAUAGCAUUGGCUGUAUUAUUCGGUUUGUGUUAGCCGCUUUUAGAACCUCAGGACUUUAUAAUCUUAGGAUUCAUUU